rnacentral:miRNA from 1 species
AAGAGGUUCGGAGCGGUUUGAAGC